rnacentral:rRNA from 1 species
GACGAACGCUGGCGGCGCGCCUAACACAUGCAAGUCGAACGAGCGAGAGAGAGCUUGCUUUCUCAAGCGAGUGGCGAACGGGUGAGUAACGCGUGAGGAACCUGCCUCAAAGAGGGGGACAACAGUUGGAAACGACUGCUAAUACCGCAUAAGCCCACAGCUCGGCAUCGAGCAGAGGGAAAAGGAGUGAUCCGCUUUGAGAUGGCCUCGCGUCCGAUUAGCUAGUUGGUGAGGUAACGGCCCACCAAGGCGACGAUCGGUAGCCGGACUGAGAGGUUGAACGGCCACAUUGGGACUGAGACACGGCCCAGACUCCUACGGGAGGCAGCAGUGGGGAAUAUUGCACAAUGGGGGAAACCCUGAUGCAGCGACGCCGCGUGGAGGAAGAAGGUCUUCGGAUUGUAAACUCCUGUUGUUGAGGAAGAUAAUGACGGUACUCAACAAGGAAGUGACGGCUAACUACGUGCCAGCAGCCGCGGUAAAACGUAGGUCACAAGCGUUGUCCGGAAUUACUGGGUGUAAAGGGAGCGCAGGCGGGAAAGCAAGUUGGAAGUGAAAUCCAUGGGCUCAACCCAUGAACUGCUUUCAAAACUGUUUUUCUUGAGUAGUGCAGAGGUAGGCGGAAUUCCCGGUGUAGCGGUGGAAUGCGUAGAUAUCGGGAGGAACACCAGUGGCGAAGGCGGCCUGCUGGGCACCAACUGACGCUGAGGCUCGAAAGUGUGGGUAGCAAACAGG